CUAACUGUUUUGUAUUUUGAAAGAUCCAAAUAAAUAUCUGUUCUUAUCAGCUUAAUUUCUGGUAUGAAUCCCAAGCGGAUUCGUUAGAAAUUUGCAUAAGUUUUUGUGAAAUUAGGCUUUUGGUUGAGUGCUCGCACCACCAUUUGCCGCGGGUCGUCC
rnacentral:snRNA from 1 species